UACGAAGGACCCGAGCGUUAUCCGGAUUUAUUGGGUUUAAAGGGUGCGUAGGCGGAAUAGCAAGUCAGCGGUGAAAGCCUGUUGCUCAACAACAGAAUUGCCAUUGAUACUGCUAAUCUUGAGUACAUUUGAUGUGGGCGGAAUGUGCCAUGUAGUGGUGAAAUACUUAGAUAUGGCACAGAACACCGAUCGCGAAGGCAGCUCACAAAACUGUAACUGACGCUGAGGCACGAAAGCGUGGGGAUCAAACAGG
rnacentral:rRNA from 1 species